rnacentral:rRNA from 1 species
GACGAACGCUGGCGGCGUGCUUAACACAUGCAAGUCGAACGAUGAAGAAAAGAAUUGCAGCUUCGGCAGAAAUUCAUUUCGGAUUAGUGGCAGACGGGUGAGUAACGCGUGAGCAACCUACCUCUUACAAAGGGAUAGCCUCGGGAAACCGGGAUUAAUACCAUAUAACAUUGCGACGAAGCAUUUCGAUGCAAUCAAAGCUACGGCGGUAAGAGAUGGGCUCGCGUCCCAUUAACCAGAUGGUGAGGUAACGGCUCACCAUAGUAACGAUGGGUAACCGGGCUGAGAGGGUGAACGGUCACACUGGAACUGAGACACGGUCCAGACUCCUACGGGAGGCAGCAGUGGGGAAUAUUGCACAAUGGAGGGAACUCUGAUGCAGCGACGCCGCGUGAGUGAUGAAGGAAUUCGUUUCGUAAAACUCUGUUCUAUGGGAAGAAAAGGACUGUACCAUAGGAGAAAGCUCCGGCUAAAUACGUG